rnacentral:rRNA from 1 species
ACGAGGUCUACGGAUCAAAGCCUUCGGGCGCCAGAGGAUGAGCCUGCGUCGCAUUACCUAGUUGGUAGGGUAAUGGCCUACCAAGGGGACGAUGCGUAGCUGGUCUGAGAGGAUGAUCAGCCACACUGGGACUGAGACACGGCCCAGACUCCUACGGGAGGCAGCAGUGGGGAAUAUUGCGCAAUGGGGGAAACCCUGACGCAGCCACGCCGCGUGGGUGAUGAAGGCCUUCGGGUUGUAAAGCCCUGUCGGGAGGGACGAAUUCAUGACGGUACCUCCAAAGAAAGCACCGGCUAACUCCGUGCCAGCAGCCGCGGUAAUACGGAGGGUGCGAGCGUUGCUCGGAAUUACUGGGCGUAAAGCGUACGCCAGGCUGCCUUGUAAGUCGGGUGUGAAAGCCCGGGGCUCAACCCCGGAAAUGCGCCCGAGACUGCAGGGCUUGAAUGCGGGAGAGGAUAGCGGAAUUCCUGGUGUAGAGG